CAGCAGCCGCGGUAAUACGUAGGUGGCAAGCGUUGUCCGGAAUUAUUGGGCGUAAAGGGCUCGCAGGCGGUUUCUUAAGUCUGAUGUGAAAGCCCCCGGCUCAACCGGGGAGGGUCAUUGGAGACUGGGAAACUUGAGUGCAGAAGAGGAGAGUGGAAUUCCACGUGUAGCGGUGAAAUGCGUAGAGAUGUGGAGGAACACCAGUGGCGAAGGCGACUCUCUGGUCUGUAACUGACGCUGAGGAGCGAAAGCGUGGGGAGCGAACAGGAUUAGAUACCCCCGUAGUCCCUGUCUCUUAUAA
rnacentral:rRNA from 1 species